GUUGUAUGGUUAAGUGACUAAGCGUACACGGUGGAUGCCUUGGCAGUUGGAGGCGAUGAAGGACGGUAUAUCGAGCGAUAAUCCUCAUCAAACUUGUAAUAAGCCCUUGACUCCAGGAUUUCCGAAUCGG
rnacentral:rRNA from 1 species